rnacentral:rRNA from 1 species
UACGAAGGGGGGCUAGCGUUGCUCGGAAUUACUGGGCGUAAAGCGCGCGCCAGGCGGUCUUCCAAGUCAGUGGUGAAAGCCCGGAGCUCAACUCCGGAAUUGCCAUUGAAACUGUGAGACUGGAGUACGAGAGAGGUGAGUGGAAUUCCCCAGUGUAGAGGUGAAAUUCGUAGAUAUUGGGAAGAACACCGGUGGCGAAGGCGGCUCACUGGCUCGUAACUGACGCUCAGGCGCGACAGCGUGGGGAUCAAACAGG